rnacentral:rRNA from 1 species
AAGACGAUGACUGCUUAGUGUGUUAGAGGGCUUCCAACCGUUGCUUGCUUGGCAGCUAACGCGUUAAAUCAGACCGCCUGGGGAGUACGACCGCAAGGUUAAAACUCAAAUGGAAUUGACGGGGGCCCGCACAAGCGGUGGAGCAUGUGGUUUAAUUCGAUGCAACGCGAAGAACCUUACCUACUCUUGACAUCCUUUGAAUCCUUUAGAGAUAGAGGAGUGCCUUCGGGAACGCUGAGACAGGUGCUGCAUGGCUGUCGUCAGCUCGUGUUGUGAAAUGUUGGGUUAAAUACCCCGCAACCAAAA